UCCCUGGUGGCUCAGAUGGUAAAGCGUCUGCCUGCAAUGCAGGAGACCCGGCUUCAAUUCCUGGGUUGGGAA
rfam:TPA: Bos taurus chromosome 21, whole genome shotgun sequence.